UUUCACAUUAUGGUUUAAUUCAUUAAUAAAUAUGUUCAGAGUGUUUGUGCAGAGACACAAUUUUUUUGGGUUUCAGAUGGUGGACAUACUGUACAUGUUAUGUCCGCAGUUGAGACUGAAUCCCCUAACGGUGAUAAUGGAGACGUUACUGGAGAAAGAGAGUUAGCACCUAUCAAGCUUUCAGCAAUCUUUACAAGCGAAAGAGUUGAGGACAUUGUAUCUAUCUCCAAGGAUUCAGUUCUUAUCCUUGGUCAAGGCAACAUGUUUCUGUAUGGAACUUCUUGAAUUUGGUUCUUUAUCAUGCAUGGGCAUGGUUCAAGACUUUGCAGCUUUGGAUGGUCUUUUGGCUAAAGACAGGAUGAGUUUUGGUGAUUUUGAAGAUGAACUUAUCCACCUGAAGACCUAGAGACAUGUUCUUAACAAUCACUUGCUUUGAGGUUCCAUUUGGAUACCCAUGACUAGAUCCAGUUUAAUAUUAUUGUAUAUCUUUUGUUCUAGCUAUUUCAAUUGUUUUUCUUUCUAUCCAUACAUUAUCAAUUUGAUGAUCCUGACGAUGCCCCUGAGGUGCAUACGCAUGAUCUCGCAACAGGUGCAGAAAAUGACGCCCAAUUACUGCCCUCGAGGUGUUGUUAGACUUAGUGGGUCACUACGCGAACAAUCAGUGUAGUUCUAAUCUGAACAUUUUAGUUUCAUGUAAUUGUUAUGCUCUAACAUUUUUUAAUAAAUAAUGUGCCGUUGCAACGCACGG